GCAGCAGCGCCGACCUUCCUGUUCAGCACGUCCUGCCAGUUGAUGGCGGCGAAGAAGCGGUGCUCCAUCACCUCCUGCGCGUCCGCGGGGCCGCCGCCGAGCCUGGGGGCAACAGAGACACAGCUUCGCGCACGGCGACCCACAGCGCGACCCACAGCACCCCAUAUGUGACCCACAGCACCACCCACAGCGCCACCCACAGCGCCCAGUGUGUGACCCACAGUGCGACCCACAGCGCGACCCACAGCACCCAGUGUGUGACCCACAGCGCGACCCACAGCACCCCAUAUGUGACCCACAGCGCGACCCACAGCGCAACCUACUGCACCCACAAUGCAACCCACAGCACCCACAGCGCGACCCACAGCGCCACCCACAGCACCACCCACAGCGCCCAGUGUGUGACCCACAGUGUGACCCACAGCACCCAGUGUGUGACCCACAACACGACCCACAGGACCCAGUGUGACCCACAGUGCAACCCACUGCACCCACACAGCCCUGUGCUGUGACCCACAUGGCCCCACAGCACCCAGUGCGACCCACAGCACCCAGUGUGACGCACAGCACCCAGCGUGACCCACAGCACCCACAGUGCGACCCAGGGAAGCCCCCAACCACCACAAUCCCUCCCAGGGGAGUCCCCAAAGCCCCAUAGAAACCCCCAAAGCCCCCCAACCCCCCAGCAGAGCCCCCAAACCCCCCAGCAGAGCCCCCAACCACCCACAGAAGCCCCCAGAC
rnacentral:lncRNA from 1 species